AAACUUCACACUGGGGGGAACCCCGAUGAGGGAAAUCCUAGUGCUAGGACAUUUGUUCUAGCUUUUCUCAAGCGUAGAUAACUUGAGGAAUAAGGGCUGGGUAAGACGGGUGCCAGCCGCCGCGGUAAUACCUGCAGCCCAAGUGGUGGUCGAUUUUAUUGAGUCUAAAACGUUCGUAGCCGGUUUGGUAAAUCUUUGGGUAAAUCGGGAGGCUCAACUUUCCGACUUCCGAAGAGACUGCCAAACUUGGGACCGGGAGAGGCUAGAGGUACUUCUGGGGUAGGGGUAAAAUCCUGUAAUCCUAGAAGGACCACCGGUGGCGAAGGCGUCUAGCUAGAACGGAUCCGACGGUGAGGGACGAAGCCCUGGGUCGCAAACGGGAUUAGAUACCCCGGUAGUCCAGGGUGUAAACGCUGCAGACUUGGUGUUGGAGGCAAUUCGGUUGCAUUCAGUGCCGAGAGAAGUUGUUAAGUCUGCUACUUGGGGAGUACGUCCGCAAGGAUGAAACUUAAAGGAAUU
rnacentral:rRNA from 1 species